rnacentral:lncRNA from 1 species
CGACCAUACAGUACAAUACCAAUUCUUGUGGUUGGGGGUAGUGAAUCAACAAAUGCAUGCAAGGAACUCUGCAAAUGCUGGAGGUGUGCUUCAUCUAAACACUCGUCUAUCACAAGAACAAUGGGUGCAGAAAUUCUCAAAUCGCCAACUGGAAUAAAACCAGGUCUCUUGUUCCCAGUUUGAACAUAAUCAACCAUAGGAGACGACAGUUCUGGAUAGUUAAGGAGCUCUUCCUUGCUGGUAGCCACGUAUUCACCUCCACUUCCAUUCAGAUUUCGACAAAUUGCACACUGCCACUGACCUGAACCAAGCAAGAUGUUGCAAU